rnacentral:rRNA from 1 species
GGGAGUACGCCGGCAACGGUGAAACUCAAAGGAAUUGACGGGGGCCCGCACAAGCGGAGGAACAUGUGGUUUAAUUCGAUGAUACGCGAGGAACCUUACCCGGGCUCAAACGACACAGGCAUACUUUUGAAAGGAGGUAGCCCUUCGGGGUCUGUGUCGAGGUGCUGCAUGGUUGUCGUCAGCUCGUGCCGUGAGGUGUCGGCUUAAGUGCCAUAACGAGCGCAACCCCUAUCGCCAGUUGCCAUCAAGUAAAGUUGGGGACUCUGGCGAGACUGCCGGCGCAAGCUGUGAGGAAGGCGGGGAUGACGUCAAAUCAGCACGGCCCUUACGUCCGGGGCGACACACGUGUUACAAUGGCAGGUACAGAGAGAAGCCAGGUGGCGACACCGCGCGGAACUCGAAAGCCUGUCUCAGUUCGGAUCGGAGUCUGCAACCCGACUCCGUGAAGCUGGAUUCGCUAGUAAUCGCG